rnacentral:rRNA from 1 species
CCUACGGGGGGCAGCAGUGAGGAAUAUUGGUCAAUGGACGAGAGUCUGAACCAGCCAAGUAGCGUGAAGGAUGACUGCCCUAUGGGUUGUAAACUUCUUUUAUAUGGGACUAAAAUGUUCCACGUGUGGGAUUUUGUAUGUACCAUAUGCAUAAGGAUCGGCUAACUCCGUGCCAGCAGCCGCGGUAAUACGGAGGAUCCGAGCGUUAUCCGGCUUUAUUGGGUUUAAAGGGAGAGUAGGUGGAUUGUUAAGUCAGUUGUUAAUGUUUGCGGCGCAACCGUAAAAUUGCAGUUGAAACUGGCAGUCAUGAGUACAGUAGAGGUGGGGGGAAUUCGUGGUGUAGCGGUGAAAUGCUUAGAUAUCACGAAGAAUUCCGAUUGCGAAGGCAGUUCACUGGACUGCAACUGACACUGAGGCUCGAAAGUGUGGGUAUCAAACAGGAUUAGAUACGCCUGUAGUC